AUAGAAAAUAGGAAAGUUUUUUUUUAAUAGGAAAGCGCCUGAGCGCUUUAUAGCGCUAUCGGGCCGAAUCCCUAACGCCCGGAUCCGAAUCCCCCAGGAUCGGCCGACCGAUUCCCCAGUCCCCUCUCUCUCCCUCACUGCCGCGUGGGCCCCUUGGCCGAUCCCAGCCCCAACCGGUCACCCCCUUCCUUCCUUCCUUCUUCCUCCCUUCCUUCCCCGGCCCGAUCUCCUACCAAAGCUCGCCGGCCGGCAACCGAUCUCCCCGGAUCCCCCUCCUCCUACCCUAUAAAGC
rnacentral:lncRNA from 1 species